GAUGAACGCUGGCGGCGUGCUUAAUACAUGCAAGUCGAACGGAAGGACCCUAAUCUUGUGUCUUGCUCGUUAGCGGCACGGGGGAGAGUCACGCGUGUAAAACCUACCUAUCUUACGGAGAACACUUGGAGAAACCGUAGCAUACAGGGGAGAAGCUCUUGAUCCGUGUGGGUGGAAGGAGAAAGACGGUCUUGGUGUCUCGUCUAGAGGGUUCCGCGCUGCAUUAGCUAGUUGGUGAGGUCAAGGCUUACCAAGGCAACGAUGCAUAGCCGAACUGAGGGGGUGAUCGCCGGCACGGGAACUGAGACACGGUCCAGACGCCUACGGGAGGCAGCAGUAGGGAAUGUGCCGCAGUGGGCGAAAGCCUGACGGAGCAACGCCGCGUGAGUGAUGAAGGUCUUCGGAUCGUAAAACUCUGUUAUUAGGGAAGAACAUAUGUGUACGGAGCUGAGGACAGCGUGACGGUACCUAAUCAGAAAGCAACGGCUAACUACGUG
rnacentral:rRNA from 1 species